CUUUGGCCUCCCAAAGUGCUGGGAUUACAGGUGUGAGCCAUCACACCCGGCCCAGUUAUAGAUUUAUUUGUUCUGUCUUCACUCCCAGUGAUUCACUUGACUAGACUUAA
ensembl:misc_RNA Y_RNA Y RNA